GAGGAAUGGGUCUCUGCCAACCUAUGGUCAUACACAUGAACAGCUGCUAAAAGGAAGACGAAUAGGCAAAGGUCCUGGUAGGACAACUUUACUACCCUUGUUCUUUAAAUGCUGAUUAACUUUGCUUUGGCCUUUUUGGUAGAUAUUAAGCCCAAAUCUCUGAAAUGGGGCAAGAAUCUCAACAUACAAAGGCAAUAAUUUGGAUUUCCUGUAAAGUUCCAGAAUGAAUCCCAGUUCAUAUUCCAAGUGUUGGCAUCUGUUAACAUUUCUUUUCCCUUCUAGACUAUUUGGAUUAAAAGCGUAUCAGGGGCUAACUGCU
rnacentral:lncRNA from 1 species